GCUGAUAUAGCACAGUCGGUAGUGCGCAACAUUGGUAGUGUUGAGGUCACGGGUUCGAUUCCCGUUAUCAGCU
rnacentral:tRNA from 1 species